rnacentral:rRNA from 1 species
GGCUCAGAACGAACGCUGGCGGCGUGCCUAAUACAUGCAAGUUGAGCGGACCUGUUUGGAGCUUGCUUCAGACAGGUUAGCGUCGGACGGGCGAGUAACAUGUAGGCAACCUGCACGCAAGACCGGGAUAACGUAGUGAAACUUACGUUAAUACCGGAUAGGGCAUCCUCUCGCAUGAGAGGGUGCGGAAAGUUGGCGCAAGUUACCACUUGCGGAUGGGCCUGUGGCGCUUUAGCUAGUUGGUGGGGUAACGGCCUACCAAGGGGACGAUGCGUAGCCGACCUGAGAGGGCGACCGGCCACACUGGGACUGAGACACGGCCCAGACUCCUACGGGAGGCA